CAUUUUCUCGUUCAUCCUACAACUUAAAACUAAUCAACAAUAACAAAGACAGCUAGUAAGUUAUCAGUAAAAUUCCAAGAUAACUAAGACGCAGCAAAAUAGUAACAAGAGCCAAGAGAGGAUUAUAUAUAUAUAUAUAUAUAUAUAUAUAUAAAAGCAGUGCUUAGUGGUUAGCCUCAAGACUUUUGGGAAAUUUGAUUCUGUUUGGGUAGUGGUUGAAAGGUUUACUAGACCAGUCCACUUUAUCUCGGUCAGAGUGGAUUAGAAUGCUGAACAAUUGACUAAGAUUUAUGUAAAGGAGAUACUAAAGUUUCAUGGUGUGCCCCUUUCCAUCAUCUCAUAUCGUGGAACCCUUUUCACUUCUAUGUUUUGGAGGAAGUUGCAUGUUAAAUUGGUCACGCAGCUCACAUUUAGUACAACCUUCCAUCCCCAGACGGAUGGACAAUCAGAAAGGACUAUACAAGUGUUUUGAAAACGUGUUGAGUAAUUGACUUUGGAGGGCAUUGGGAUAAGUUCCUACCAUUAUGUGAGUUCUCUUAUAAUAAUAGUUAUCACUAGAGCAUUGAUAUCACAUCAUUUGAAGCGUUAUAUGGGAGAGGAUGUAGAUAACCCAUAUGUUGGUUUGAAUCCGGAGAUGUAAAAUCUUUGGGGGAUUGACUUAGUGAACGACGCUCAAGAUAAGGUGAGGAGCAUUCAAGCUAAAUUUCUAACCACGUAGAGUAGACAAAAGAAGUAUGCGGAUCACAAAGUGAGAGACACGGAAUUCCAGACUGGCGAGAAUGUUCUUCUCAAGGUAUAACCAUGAAAGGGGUGAUGAGACUUGUCUAGAGGGGUAAGUUGAGUCCUCGAUAUAUUGGUCCCUUUGAGAUUCUUGAACGUGUUGGAACGGUGGCGUAUAGAUUGACGCUACCUUCAAACUUGUCCGAUGUACAUUCCGUAUUUCAUGUGUCUAUGUUGAAGAGCUAUCACGGUGAUGGAGAGUAUAUCAUUAAGUGGGACUCAAUAGUGCUACGCAAGGACCUCCAAUAUGAGGAGAAACCGAUUGCUAUUCUUGAUCGUGAUGUUUGAAAGUUGAGGACCAAAGAGAUUAAGUCUGUAAAAGGUCAAUGGAAGCAUCGUCCAGUUGAUGAAGCUACUUGGGAGACUGAAAAGGAUAUGCGAGACUAGUAUCCACAAUUGUUCGUCGAAUCAGGAUUACUGUCACUGCAGCGACGCCGCUACAACAGGAUGGGUGUUGCUGUAGCAGGAUGGAGGAUUUUAAAAUCAUAAAUAAAACCCUUAGACGACUUUAUUUUGUACUUUUUGACUUUUUGAGUAAUGAGACGACCCUUGAGCUAUUCCAACUCAUUUUCCACCAUUCUUGAAACUAGAUGUAAUUUUUUCACUUCCUGAAUUCAUUUUUCGAUCCGUAUAUACUUUUAGAAUGGGUCAAUAUUAACGAGGAAGGAUUUCUUGAAGAGUCCUAUGGUGGAAUUAACCAUAAAUUGACUAGUUGGGGUCAUGGGUUUUGAACUAAGGUUCAUAGUUCGUUAACAUUUUGGGAAUUGAGUGUUUCUUUAUUGAAUCCUGUACAUGAAUUGUCAUUUAUAGACCACGAACAAGCGGAACGAAUCCGGAAAGGAAUGGAUCAAUUUGUCUAGGGUUUCAAGCUUGUUUUGAGGUAGGUGAUAGUUUUGAUUCUAUUAUUGUAUGAUAUACAUUUGCUUUGCUUCGUUAUGAUACUUGUAUGUGUAUACAUAACACAAUAUUGAUCAUAGAUGUUGAAAUGAGAAAUAUGAAUAUUUACACCAUGAAAUUAUGACUUGAA